CUACGGGUCGCUCCAGUGGGGAAUAUUGCACAAUGGGCGCAAGCCUGAUGCAGCCAUGCCGCGUGUAUGAAGAAGGCCUUCGGGUUGUAAAGUACUUUCAGCGGGGAGGAAGGGAGUAAAGUUAAUACCUUUGCUCAUUGACGUUACCCGCAGAAGAAGCACCGGCUAACUCCGUGCCAGCAGCCGCGGUAAUACGGAGGGUGCAAGCGUUAAUCGGAAUUACUGGGCGUAAAGCGCACGCAGGCGGUUUGUUAAGUCAGAUGUGAAGUCCCCGGGCGCAACCUGGGAACUGCAUCUGAUACUGGCAAGCUUGAGUCUCGUAGAGGGGGGUAGAAUUCCAGGUGUAGCGGUGAAAUGCGUAGAGAUCUGGAGGAAUACCGGUGGCGAAGGCGGCCCCCUGGACGAAGACUGACGCUCAGGUGCGAAAGCGUGGGGAGCAAACAGGAUUAGAUACCCUAGUAGUC
rnacentral:rRNA from 1 species